ensembl:snoRNA SNORA70 Small nucleolar RNA SNORA70
CUGCAACCAGUUAGGCCAGCCAGGCUCCCUUCCUUGUUGGAGCCCAGAGUGUGAUGGCUGUGAACAGCAGCCUCCUUGGCCGUGUGCCAGCCUGUUGGUACUGGUUGCUCUAAGGGGCUUUGGAGACAGUC